UUCCUCUCUCAGCAUAACAAAUGGUGAGGCCUGCACAGAGGAGAAAGAUAGAAAAUGCUUGUUCCUGCCCUAAGUAGUACCUUAGGGAGCUCUGGACUGGAGGAAGGAAAACGCUAGAGACCACAGGACCUCUGCAGAAAGUGCCACCGUACUCAGGGUAAAAAGAGGCCGGGUGUCAUUAAAGGAGGCUUAAUGCCUGAACAACCUUGUACAAAGUUAAAUAAAGUGAAGCAUAACUCUUUCACGUUGUGUGCAAGGAAUCUGCCUGACCACAUAAAUGCUUCCGAUUGGUCAUACUUCCAUGUUUCUUUUGCUUUUCCCCAGUGCUAGCCGACCCGCUCUGUGUUACUUGUCCCACCUUUUUGAUUCCUCAUUGCGCAGAGCUAUCAUUGCCAGGUUGAAAUUUCAGGGCUUUUAGCAUGGAAGAAAAUUCGGGCAACAGUUUCUCAUAAAAGUUGCUAAAAUAUAUUUUACAUGCUUUGUAAUCUGCUGCCAUUUAAAAUAUGUAUUUAUAAUCUUUCUUUAGACAAUUAUAUCGUUUAAACUUAAUUUAGAGCAACACAGGUGCCACAGGUGAAUAAUACCAAAUGACUUUCCAUCAUAUUGAGACUCAUCUCUGAAUUGCGCAGAUGCUCUGUAAAAGGUAACAAACAAUUGUAAAAAAUUUUCAAUUUUUCAGGAGGUAUUUUACUUCUGUAGAUGGAUUCCCUUGUCAUUUGUCUGAAAAGCUUGCAUCUAAGUCAUCUAUAAACCUUAUGGGUUUCCACGUAGGAUGCAGCCGACACAAGGUAGUUUCGGUUGGUCUACUUGAUCAUCAGCUAAAUUAUUAACAGUUCACCCCGAAUUUUAGUAGAAUAAAUUAUGCAAAGCAAAAUCCUCCCGAACAUAUCAUCCUUGCUCAUACUCACUUCAACUGAUACACAAAACACACUUCAACAAUAGUCAAAAUAGAAAUUACAAUGUUCCUGUAAUACCCCAAAAAAAAAAAAAAAAAANNNNNNNNNNNNNNNNNNNNGGGGUGACGUCGCGUGCGGCGGUGGCCGGCUUCGGCUGCGAACGGCGCUGACACGGGCGUCGGCCGCGGGCCAGCCGAGGAUGCCGCCGGCACGGGCGUCGGCUGCAGGCCGGCCGAGGGCACCGCCGGCUGUGGCCGACCUCUCCCGAACUCACUGCCUCCCUUCGCAGGAGAAGAAAGGGGGAAGGAAAAGAGGGAUCGGGAGAGAAGGAAGGAAAGAGAGGAGGAGAGGAAGCUCUGGGCGUGACAGUUCCCCUCCGAGAACAUACGAAGAAACAGUUUAGUUUUAGAUUGUCUAUCACACCUGUAGUUUAAUAAAAGGUAAAAAGAAGACCACAACAAUAUGGAGAUGAGAGAUUGAUUCGGAUAUGACAGGCGGCUAGAAGCCUAAAAGCUUCAUCAUGAGCUAUCUUCUAUUCCCUCUCCCUCUCUCACUUUCACCUAGCCUCCUUUUGCUCUGAUUCUUCAUCUGACCUAUUAUCAUCAGUAUGGAUUUUUUCAAGACACAAUAACUUCGUCUCCAAAGCAUCCCGAACCUAACAAUAUCUCACAUUAAUAUGCUUGAAUCUUGAAUAAAAUAUUAGAUUCUUUGAGAGAUGGAUGACACUUUGACUAUCAUAAUAAAGUAUACAUUUCUCUUGUUCUUGGCUCCACUCUUGUAGAAAAUUUUUCAUCCAAAAAAGUUUUUUUACAGGCUUCUGUAAUUGCAAUAUGCUCGGCCUCCGUAGUGGACAAAACAACACAUUUUUGUAAUUUAGAUUGCUAUGACACUACUCCCUCUGAAAAGUCAUCAAAUAUCCUGAUUGAACUUUCUAAAAUCUAGAUCACCAGCCAUAUUUGCAUCUGUGUACCCAUCCAACAUAGAUUUACUAUUAUGAAAACAUAAACAAACUCUAAAAUGCCUAUGAGAUACUUAGAAAUUCAUUUGACAACAGUCUAAUGCUCCUUAAAAUGGUUAGAAAGAAACCGACUUACAACAUCAACUGCAUAAGCACUAUUCGGUCUUAUGCAAACCAUGGUGUACAUCAAACUGUCAACUGCAGAUGCAUAAGGAAUCUUUUCAUUUCUUCUUUAUCAUUCUGACUUGUAGGACACUGCUUGAAAUUUAACUUGAAGUGACCUAUAAGUGGAGAGCAAACUGGUUUGGACUUACUCAUAUUGAACCUUUCUAAUACUUUUUUGAUAUAUCUCUCUUGGGAUAACCAAAUCUUUCUAUUCUUCCUAUUAUGAGUAAUUCUCAUGCCAAGAAUUUGUUUAACCGGUCCCAAGUACUUCAAAGCAAAGAACUUGUUCAACUCUCUUUUCAAGCUUUCAAUCUUCUUAGCAUCAUGAUCAACGAUCAACAUAUCAUCCAUAUAAAACAAGAGAAUAAUAAAAUCUUCAUCAGAGAAUCUAUUAAUAAAUACACAAUGAUGAGAAGCAGUUUUACUAUACCCAUAGUCCAUUAUAAAUGAAUUAAAUUUUUUACAUCAUUGUCGAGGUGCCUGCUUGAGCCCAUACAAACUCUUCUUUAAUCUACAUACGAGAUGCUCUUUGCCUUUAACUAUGAACCCUUCUGGCUUCUCGAUAUAAAUUUUCUUCUUUCAGUCACCAUGAAGAAAGGUAGUUUUCACAUCAAGUUGUUCAAUCUCUAAAUUUAUUCUUGUAGAUAAAUCGAAAAUAAGUCGGUUGAAGACAUUUUGACUACAGAUGAGAAAAUUUCUUAAAACUCAAUAUCAAUUUUCUGAUCAAAACCUUUCACAACCAACGGUGCCUUGUACCUUGGCUGUGAGCUCUUCUCUUGAGUCUUGAACUUGAACACCCACUUAUUCUUGAGUGCCCUCUUACCUCUAGGUAGUUCCAUCAACUCAAAUGUGCAGUUCUCAUGGAAGAAUUUUAUCUCCUCGUGCAUAGCUUUUAACCACUCUCUCUUUUGUUCAUGAUUUAUGGCCUCUUGGUAGCAUUCUGGUACUCCCCCAUCAAUGAUUAUCAUAUACUCAUGUGGAGAAUAUCUUUAGGAAGGUCAGUGCUCUCUAGUAGAUCUUCUUAACUGAGGCUUAAUUGGUAGUUCUGGAGGGACUUGCUCAACAUGAUCAUCCGACACAUCAUUGCCAAGUGUUGGCUUAUCAACUGCGUUACCAUCAUCUUUCUAUACAUCUUCCCUAUUAAUAUCAUUCAUCAUGGUUGCAGGUAUUGGACCUAGAUCAACAUAAUUUCUACUGACAGACUUUGGCUUCUCAAUAUUUUCAAAAUCUUCAAUAGUUUGGUUUUCUAGAAACACAACAUCUCUGCUUCUGAUAACUUUCUUAUCAACUAGAUCCCAUAGUCUGCAACCAAACUCUUCAUGUGCAUAACCUAAGAAGAUAUACUGUUUAGACUUGCGAUCAAACUUGGAUCACUCAUUUUUAGGAAUGUGAAUAAAUGCCCUAUAGCUAAAUACUCUUAAGUGAUCAUAUGACACAUUUUUUCCAAUCUACACUCUUUUUGGUACAUCACCUUUAAGGAAAACUGAAGGAGAAAGUUUGAUUAAAUCCACUGCAGUUCUCCUUGCUUCACCCGAAAAGAAUUUAGAAAAUUUGGCAUGAGAGAACAUACUCCGAAUUCUUUCACAAAUAGUACGGUUCAUUCUGUCAGCAACUCAAUUAUGUUGAGGUAUUUUAGGAAUGAUUUUUUCAAACCUGAUGCUAUGAUCUCGAUAAUAUUUCUCAAAUGGACCUUUGUAUUCACCACCAUUAUCUGCUCAAAUAUACUUCAGUUGUCUUUCCAUUUCUCUUUCAACACUAGCAUGAAAAUGCUUGAAUACAGUAAGCACCUGGUCUUUAAAUUUUAAAACAAAUGUCCAUACUUUUUUGGAAUGAUCAUCAAUAAAAGUAACAAAAUAUAAAAUACCACCAAGAGUUAUAGCAUCCAUAGUACAAAUAUCAGUGUGAAUUAAAUCCAAAACAUGUAAUAUUCUAUAUGGAGGGGUUUUAUGAAAUUCAACUCUAUGCUAUUUGCCAGCUAAACAAUGAGUACAAGUCUUUAGGGGCGUACCUUUUAUAGAAAGAAAUUUCUUUUUGGUCAGAAUAUUAAGUCCCUUCUACUCAUGUGUCCAAGCUGCUUAUGCCAUAAUUCAAUAGAGGAGUCUCCAACUGCAUUCACCUCCUCAUUGCACAAAUUUGCUUACAUAAUAUAAAGUGUGCCUGGUUUCUUUUCUCUUGCUACCAUUAGAGAACCUUUGGUAAGCUUCCAUUUUUCUUCAUCGAAGUGGUUGUCGUAAUCUUCAUCAUCAAGUAAUUUAAUAGAGAUUAAGUGGAGGCGGAUAUCUAGAACAUUUCUCACAUUUUUCAGUAAUAGAUGACACCCAAUAACGAUUUCCAAGCAAACGUCUUCUAUGCCUACAAUCUUAGUAACUCCAUCAUUUUCCAUUCUAACACUGCAAAAAUCAUCACUAGUGUUGGAUGUGAAGCUGUCCCGUCGAGAAGUAACAUGAAAAGAGGCACCUGAGUUAACAACCCAAGUACAAUCCUUGUAAGGUUUAUACAAGCAUCAUCACAAAUAAUAUCGACAUCACCAUCAGACGCAACUAUUGUUGUAUCAUUUUCUUCCUUUUUUUCAUCUCUUCUUCUUGAUUGCUCUCUUUUAAAUUUUCUACACUUUCUUUUCAUGUGCCUGGGUUUGCCAUAAUAAAAAUAUUUUAUCUCUUUUCUGAAUUUGCACCUUCUCUUUGACUUAUCAUGAUUAUUAGAAUUUUGCAAGAUUCUAGUUUUACUCCUCCCCAGCCUUUCUGUAACCAAUACCUCUGACUAUGUAGUCACACCAUGUUUUCUUCUUCUGGUCUCCUCAUUAAGCAUACUAUCUUUUACCAUUCCCAAUGUUACCACACCAUUAAGAGCAAAAUUCUUAAGUGAUACAACCAGAGUUUUCCAACUAUCAGACAAGAAGCUAAGCAACAAUAAUGCUUGCAACUCAUCAUCUAACAUCAUUUUCAUAGUAUUUAGUUGAUUUACCAUAUUCUAAAAUCUACUUAAAUGCUUGACCACUGAAUUUUUCUCCUUAUAUUGCAUAUUCAAAAGCUUUGUGAUCAUGAAUGUUUUUUCUAUGCAGUCUUCCGCUCAUAAAGACUUUAUAGUUUCUUCCAUUAACUAUGAGCAUUAGUCUCCAUAGCAAUAUGAUGAAAAACAAUAUCAUCUAUCCAUUGCUUGAUUAAUCCAACCGUUUUUCUAUUCAUUUUCUUCCACUACUGUCGAGUUUUGUCACUUGGUUUGGUACUAUCUCCUUCCAUAGGAUCAUACAAAUCUUUGCAAAAUAGUAAAUCUUCCAUUUCGAGCUUCCAAAUUGAAUAAUUGGAAGAUGUGAUUUAAAUAUACAGCCACUUGAAUGCUCUUCCAUUUAAUCAACAAAAAAAAAUUCAGUCAUUAGCAACCUGCUUUGAUACCACUUAUUGAAAAAUCAAGAUAUAAUUAUGUCGUAAACUUUUUUGUCUUUGUGUAAUUAAAUGGGAUAUCACUCACUAAGCAACAAUCUUCUCUACAAUCUACUUAGACAAUUAACUAAAAAAAUAAUCAAGCAAUCUAGAAAUAAGAGACAACACAAUUUUUAACAUGGAAAACCCUUCUAUAUAAGGAAAAAAAAAUUAUGACACCUAAUUCAGGCGAAAACUUUUACUAUUUAGAAUAAUAAGAUUACAAUAGAUUCUUUCUAGUUCAACUAGAGGCUGCACAAACAUCAAUAAGAUUUAAUUUUGGCUUUCAUAACAAAAAUAUUCAUCACCAAUAAGAUGGAUUUCAACAACAAAUAAUAAAAUAGAGAAUAAAUCCCACUAAGUAUUGAUGCUUAAAAUAAUCAAUAGAGAAGGCUUUUCAAUGAUCCAAACCAUUCAAUCUGUAGCUCUCAAUGCUGAAAACAAUAUACUGAAAUUUCAGUCAAAUAUGGAUAUAAUCAACCAUCCAAUCAUCUGACAAAGCAUUACCUUUUUAUUUUGUACCAAAUCAUAGGAGUUUGCUAUUGUAUUAUACGAUAUCUGAUCCCUAGUAUCUUUUUCAUAAUCAUAAAAUUUUAUUAUUGUAUUCUACUAUAUCUGGAGGCUCAACUUAUAUAUAGAGCCCAGUGCCAUAAACAAAACAAGCAAUUCAAAUCUUAUUUUAAAUAUAAAUUUUUAAUGAUAUCAGGGCGGAUUUUUUCUUGAUCAGUCAACCCUUCGUUCUUGUUCUCCUAUGAUCCUCUUGGUGUUUGUUUUCAUUGGCCCUCUAUUCUCUAUUUGAUAAUCUUGGCCUCUUUUACUAUUAUUCCAAUCCUAGUGCUGAUAUUAGAAGGAGAAGGAUAGAAAAUUUACACUCCACACAAAGUGAACAAAAUGAGAUGGAGAAGGAACCUAACUCGGUAGUAUUAUGAUGUAUAUAAUCAUAGGAUUCUGUAAAGUUUUUGCUUGUACCACAAAUGCAUUGAAGGAGCAUUCCUGCAUCAUCAACAAAAGCCUAGUACCAGCUUCGUAGACAAGAGUGUUAGAGGUUUGCAUGUCAGAUGUAACAAGUAAUGUUACAGCCUCAGUUCGUACUGGAGGUAAAGGUGAACAUAAGAUGGCACUUCUCUAAACUUUGCUUUUCUGCACAUUAUUAUUCAUUAGCAUAUUCUCUUAUUCACUUAAAAAGAGAAUAAAACAACAAUCCCAGGACGACGACACAAACAACCGAUCAAAUGCUAUAUGCAUUAAAAAGGAAAAAGAUCUUUUCUUUUCUUUUUUUGGAUGAUUGCACAUAAAUCUUUCUAAUCAACGGUAAAAAGAGACCCAACCUACAACAUCAAGCAUCUAAAUAAAUAUUUUGCCCAAAAAUAAAAAUAAAUAAAUAUCUCAAAAUAAUAAUCAAGCAGUGAUUUUUCCCUUUAAUACGCUACCGAAAACUUCCUUAGAGAAAGGGUGAAAAUUAAAGAGAAAAGGGGACCUGGUAAUGGAGGUGGGGUCGUUCUUGGUGGUGCUUGAAUUCAUCGAAUCGCUCGAAGUACUUGUCCAUCGUGUGGAGGAACCAAUCUUUGUCCUCAUCGGAGUGUCAAGUGCCCUCACCAAGAGCGCCUCUGUGUUCGCCAGUCUUCUACUCACCGCGAUGCAGAGAUACUUCAGCUCCUCCUCCGCCGCCGUCGCCGCCGGAUUGGAGCCUUCUUCAGUCUUCUUUCUCGCUCUUACCGAAGUUUUGCUAAAAUUAUCGAAUACAAGACAAUUAAAAUAUGUAUGAAAUGCACUAGCUUAUAAUUUGUGCAUGCGGCAGAUUUUGGUUGGGCAAAAACUUCAACAAUUCUUUCCAUGUAAUUACUCCAACUAGUUUUAGGAUGAGAAAUUUUUAAUUUUUAAUUUUCAGUAUUCAUCUAACUCCAUAAGCUCCACAUCUUGAUACAAUGAUAUACAUAAAAAUGGAUAAUUUGAAUAUAUAAUAGAGAAAUCAAUUAUAUAUAACCCUAACAAUAGAUUUAUGACAAUCCACGAGUCCUAAUUAAUAUAAGGGACUCAAAUAUGUUAUAAUACCCUUGGCACUCUGCCCUUUCUGCAUC
rnacentral:lncRNA from 1 species